ensembl:misc_RNA Y_RNA Y RNA
GGCUGGUCCGAUGGCAGUGGGUUAUCAGAACUGACUAACAUUAGUGUUACUAAAGUUGGUAUACCACCCCCCCACUGCUAAAUUUGACUGGCUUUCA